CAACCUUCCAGGACACCUCACUGAAUGUGAUGCUCAGAGUAUUGGUGGAAAAUUCAUAAGUUGGGAUUGGAUGCCAGACUGGUAAGCAAGUGCUUGUUACCGUGAUGAUUUCAGAGCAACUGCUGUCUGCACAGUGGAGGGUCCAAAAAGCAACUAAAAAGGGAAGGAGAACAGCUGAAAGUUUUUUGAAAAGAGAAAAAAAAAAAUCUCAUUUGGUCCUUGAGCACGUGCCAACCUCCCUUUUUUAUCGUGGAGCCAGCUCGCUAUCGGCAGGCUCAGACGGUUCCACCAGAAACAGUAUUUGGCUGGAAUCUGAACUCAUGUUUGAAGACGCUGGUGUGGAAAAUUAGAGUGAGGUUCGUCUUCAAAUUUUAGGAUAUGAAGAAACAUAUGGAACAUAAACUGAAACAAAUUUAAAUGGAGGUCCUGGAGAAGUAGUCCUUUGACUUUCAGGACAUCAUAAACAGAAGAAGGCAUUAGAAAUUUUUUCAAGAGAAAUUGCACAAGCAGGGCCUGCCUGGAAUGGCACCUGAUCUGAUGGCAGUGGAUUGAAGGUCAUCUAAAAGUAUCUCCUGUUUUACAACCAGUUUUCUUACUGUAUCUCAAAACAAGGUUAAGGUAAGAGAGACUCCUUAGUCUGCUACCACAGUAUCUUAAUUACACUUUCACACAUAAGUGUUUUUGUGAGAGGUUAGUCUUUACAAGCCUUUUCAACUCUACUGUUUAUCAUUGUUAAUGGGUGUGAAUGGGGAAUGGGUCACCCUAAUUACCUGAUUGUUCCUAUUGAGUGGCAGUUAACCCUCCCCAUGAGCUGGAUCUGUUAACUCUAGACCAAGUAUCUGACUACUCAGAUAGACAGACUGCAUGCUCUUGCAUCCGAAUUUUUUUUCCCCAGGGCUGUAAGAUCAUAUUGGAUAUUGUCUCGGUUAUUUACUUCUAAAAAUAUUGCAUUUCACCAAUCAUCUGUAGUCUAGGAACCAGGAUAGCAUUCACAGUGACAAUAUACUGAUAAAAAUAUAAAUCUCUCUGAUAAUUUUAAUUAAACAGAAUAAACCAAAAGGAAAAAAUAAAUGCUUCUGAACCUUCACACAUCAAAUAUAAAACUUCAGAAGCCAUACGUACUCCUGAAAACACUGAGUUUCUUUAAAAAGUGAUUGUCAAGAUGGGGCACCUGGGUGGCUCAGUCAGUUAAGCAUAUGGCUUUGGCUCAGGUCGUGA